CAACUACUCCCUCUGUCCCAAAUUUCUUGUCUUAGAUUUGUCUAGAUACGGAUGUAUCUGUGACUUGAUACAUCCGUAUCUAGACAAAUCUAAGACAAGAAUUUUGGGACGGAUGGAGUACUUU
rnacentral:pre_miRNA from 1 species